rnacentral:piRNA from 1 species
UUCAGACUUGCUUAUUUUAUAC